GUCUACCGAUUUAGCUUAAAUUGAAAUUUAGUUAUUAUUUUAAAAUUAAAUGUCAAACUCAAGAGUUUUAGUUUCAUAUGUCAAAUUUCUAUAGUAAACUGGUCUAUCAUUUGUAUCCUGAAUUUCGCGGUAUGUGUUUAUUAAAGGAUACCUGCGUGAGUCCUGCAAAUUCCAAAGUUUCAUGAUCUGUCGUCUAGGUAGCUCGACAACAUCCUGGAAAACAGUCCAAGUAACGGACUCGGCGCAGUCGGGCGUGGUCAAUGAUCCUACAUAUAUGUAUAUACAGCAAUGUUUACAUAUAUACUUGAUUUAAUAAUUGAUAAUGUUACCCAGCAACUGGCCUCCGGUUAAUCGUCCAUUUACCAUUGUACUGGUCUGGUAUUCAGUAAUCAGAGGUAACUGAUUAAAGAUCCUAAUUAGUCCAGUAUGCUGCGAGGUCAGCCUUGGCACAGCCUUAAACAUGACACCCAGAACAGCAAGACCAUCCGCAAACAUACUGGCUUCUCCCACAGUUUUGUCGGCAUAUCGAGUAUUUUUAUGAACAAUGUGCAUUUCGACAUCGUAACGCUCAUAAUUGAUAGUAUGUUCGGAUCCCUUGCUGCUGGGGGAACCCCAAUGAAAGUGAACACUUUGUGCUUCAAAGCUGCCUGGCAAUAAGCCACCAUUGAUGUAUGCACGCUGCCCAUUACGGGUGGGUGGCAAAACCAUGUUCGCUGAAGUGAAUUGUAAUAUGCUUAAAUAUUAUUAAAGCAAUAAAAUUAAAUAUUCGCACA